CGUUGUAAAAAUGGCGAGCAUUAAUGUAAAUUGUUCUUGUGCUUUUUACGUACAAAUAAAAUAUUAAAAGAAGAGUACAUCUUUCCAUUUGGUCCUUCGAGCAACGGAUUCCUAAGUAAGAAGUCAAGAAUCAACAUUCGAAAUAAGUUCAUUGCAACAAGCAAACAACGAUACGACACGUCAUCAAACGCAAGUACAGCGGACCAGUCAAGUAAAGGCCGAUCCCUCAAGGUGGCUAGAAAGUAAUGGAAGAAGGUACUGCUGAUGAAACGGUUGGAGGGAUUGAUUUCAAGUUUAGAGGACUUCAAAGAGACGUUAUUACGCAUAUUUCGGUUCGGAAUAAAAACGAAAUUUAAAUGACCUAUAAUGUCAUUAAAAAAAUUCAAGAUGGCGGCCACCCUCAAAAUUCAGGGUAAUGAAGAAGUUUCUUUUUCCUUAUAACACGAGGGGAUAUUAGUUUUAAAAGAAUUUAAGAAGUAGCAUCAGUGUGGGUCAGUAUACCGAAUAGUCAAUCAAAAGUAACUAUGCCUAUGAUUAAUCGACUAGGGGGCGGUAGCUAUUUUUUGCUCUUUAAGGAGGCGAUGUUUCGAAAAAGGUUUGGAAAUCUAUGAUCUAAAUUCUAAGAUAUUAUAAAUAGUAUAUUUAACCCCUACAUUUGGCGGCUAUUUCAAAAUAUACAGCGAAAUGAUAGCAAUGGAUCAUUAAAAGUUGGCAGAGUUAGAUUUAUCACUUAUAACACCCUCAUGGAAUGAAGAAGCGGACGGACGCCUUUUCCUUCACGCUAAGCAUGCGGCUAAUAGUGAUAAUGGCCACAAAUCCGUAAGCAUUCGAACAGUAGACCCAGAUGUUGUAGCCUUUGCAGUAUCUGUCUUUUCAAAUUUUUAAAGUAGACACGAAUAUGGGAAUGAAACAUCAAAUUUUUAACAAAAUAAAUUUGCAGAAAUCAUUUAUUAGUACCUAUAGACGAUAGCCCGGUAAAAUUAGACAAAUCGACAAUUAUUGAGAUACGAAGAAUCGCUUACGAUUUUCGGUAGGGAAAUUUUUUUCACUCAAUUCGGAAAGCAGACUUUUGAUCCGGCUCAUUUUCAAUAGCACUGAUCCUUGAACGCGUAGAAAUCGAUUGGCGAAGGUUUGACAUCGCUGUCUCUUUUCGUUCUCGAGUUAGACGAGAAACAGACGGACAAAACCAUCACAUAAGGAGAAUUUCUUUUCUUUCGAAAAAUUCCCUUAUAAUCUAAAAAUGGACCCCUAUAAAUGGCUCCCCUCCCUCGAGUUCACCUCCUACCUAUAAGGACUUUUUAUUUUCUUGAAACUUAGACACUAAGGAACAACUGUACCAAUUUUAAAAACUGCGGAAUUUUUUCCUUCGAUUGGCCUUUAUUUAUGUAAUUUUACUGGGCUACGACGUAUAUCGGUUUUUACUAAAAUUUGUUACGUUGAAUUGGAUGUCUAUGUGCUGAAAAUCAGUUUCUCAUUAGAUGACGUCAUUACUGGGGUUGGGGAGUCCGGAAUUUUUGAGGUCUGGGGCUUUUUGUAUCUUUGGCAUAUACAGCAUCCAAAUCCAAAAGUUCACAUUCGCCGCCAGCACUGAAAUAUUUUAAUGAUUUUUAAUGCUAUCCGAUCCCACUACAGAGCAAAUCGACGUAAACGAAAGGCAAUUAUUUCAAGAUAACUUUUUUCAUUUGACAAGUCAAGCUAGCGACAUUUUAAUAAAAGCUAAGGAAAGCAGUAUUCAAUCUCGUUCUGUGCAAGGGCAUGAAAACUGCGAUGAUCGCAGUUACGAUACGAGUUCGCAUGUUACACGUAGGAAAAAUACCGGAUUAAAAUUGCCCACUAUUCAAUUGCCAACUUUUGAUGGUUCAUUUACACUAUGGCGGUAAUUUUAUGAUUCCUUCAAUGCGUUAAUACAUACAAAUUCGGAACUGUCCGAUGUGCAAAAACUAACUUAUUUAAAGGCUUCAUUAAAGGGUGAACCUGCUGGUUUAAUCAGUUCUUUGCAAACCACGCAUGAAAAUUAUCCUAUCGCAUGGGCACUAUUGCAAAAACGUUACGACAA